UGUGAGCAGCCCGUCCUCCUCCUCCUCCUCCUCCUCCCCUCCCGGCCGGGCUCUGGGGCAGGAGGAUGAGGAGGGCGAGCUCAGCCCUCGCUGUCCCGUUGCCUGGGGGAUUUUACUGCCUUGCUCCCCAGCAAGGGCUGGGCGGCACUGCUCAACCAGGAGCGGCCAGGAGCCACCUCCGUGCCAGGUGUGUGCCCAGGUGUUCCAUCCCACUGCUGCUCCUCUCACCUGUCUGUGCCAGGUCUGUGCCCAGGUGUUCCAUCCCACUGCUGCUCCUCUCACCUGUCCAUGCCAGGUCUGUGCCCAGGUGUUCCAUCCCACUCUGCUCCUCUCACCUGUCCAUGCCAGGUGUGUGCCCAGGUGUCCUGUCCCACUCUGUUCCUGUCACCUGUCUGUGCUGGGUCUCUGCCAGGUGUUCCAUCCCACUCUGCUCCUCUCACCUGUCCAUGCCAGGUGUGUGCCCAGGUGUCCUGUCCCACUCUGCUCCUCUCACCUGUCCCCAGGGAUGAGGGCACGCCUUUCCUUGGCCCGGUGUGUCAGGUGAGGCUUUCCAGGGGCUCAUCCCUGCCCAGGUGCCCCAGCCCUGCCCGGGGAGGCUGCAGAGCCCCGUGCCAGGAGAGCAGGGCUGCCCGAAGCCAGGCUGGAGAGCCGUGACCAUGGCUCACCUCGCAGCAGGGACAGGGACACGGGGCCUGCUCGGGGUCCUGGGGUACAGCAUCAGCACUGCUGGGGAAUCUUCAGAACCAGCUUUGCAAGGGUGUCAUGGAAUCCCAGAAUAGCUUGGGUUGGAAGGAACCUUAAACCCCUCUCAUUCCACCAGGAACUCACCCCAUCAGUUCCCAGACCGAGUGAGCUUUUGGCAGAAGGGCAGCUCAGGGCUUGGAGCUCCCGACAUCAAUGCCGACUGCAUUUAAUAGGACCAUACAGGGAAUGCAAAGAUAGUUAUAUAAUUUCAACCGUAUUAAAGCCUCCACAACUUGCAACCUAA